UACGUAGGGUGCAAGCGUUAAUCGGAAUUACUGGGCGUAAAGCGUGCGCAGGCGGUUUUGUAAGUCUGUCCGUGAAAUCCCCGGGCUCAACCUGGGAAUUGCGAUGGGGACUGCAAGGCUAGAAUCUGGCAGAGGGGGGUAGAAUUCCACGUGUAGCAGUGAAAUGCGUAGAGAUGUGGAGGAACACCGAUGGCGAAGGCAGCCCCCUGGGUCAAGAUUGACGCUCAU
rnacentral:rRNA from 1 species